rnacentral:ncRNA from 1 species
AAAAAGUGAGAAAUAACUUUGUAUAAUCCCAAUAAUAUGGUUUGGGAGUUUCUACCAGGUUCCGAAAAAUCCUGAUUACAAAGAAAAUACUUUAA